GAUGAACGCUGACAGAAUGCUUAACACAUGCAAGUCGACUGUGGCGGACGGGUGAGUAACGCGUAAAGAACUUGCCUCACAGAUAGGGACAACAUUUGGAAACGAAUGCUAAUACCUGAUACUGUGAGAGAGCUUUGCGUCCCAUUAGCUAGUGGGAGAGGUAACGGCUCACCAAGGCGAUGAUGGGUAGCCGGCCUGAGAGGGUGAUCGGCAACAAGGGGACGGAGACACGGCCCUUACGCCUUCGGGCGGCAGCAGCGGGGAAUAUUUGACAAGGGACCAAAGUCUGAUACAGCCAUUCGGUGUGCACGAUGAAGUUUUCGGAAUGUAAAGUGCUUUCAGUGGGGAAGCGGUACCAACAGAAGAAGUGACGGCUAAAUACGUGCCAGCAGCCGCGGUAAUUC
rnacentral:rRNA from 1 species